rnacentral:rRNA from 1 species
AGAAUCAACGCUGGCGGCGUGCCUAACACAUGCAAGUCGCACGAGAAAGGGACUUCGGUCCUGAGUAAAGUGGCGCACGGGUGAGUAACACGUGAAUAAUCUACCUCCGAGUGGGGAAUAACUGAGAGAAAUCUUAGCUAAUACCGCAUAACACUUACGAGUCAAAGCAGCAAUGCGCUUGGAGAGGAGUUCGCGGCAGAUUAGUUAGUUGGCGGGGUAAUGGCCCACCAAGACGAUGAUCUGUA